rnacentral:rRNA from 1 species
UACGGAGGGCGCAAGCGUUGUUCGGAAUCACUGGGCGUAAAGCGCGUGUAGGCGGCUUGGCAAGUCGGGUGUGAAAUCCCGAGGCUCAACCUCGGAACUGCACUCGUAACUGCCUGGCUCGAGUCCCGGAGAGGGCGGCGGAAUUCCCGGUGUAGGGGUGAAAUCCGUAGAUAUCGGGAGGAAAACCAGUGGCGAAGGCGGCUACCUGGACGGUGACUGACGCUGAGACGCGAAAGCGUGGGGAGCAAACAGG